UACGAGAGGCGCAAACGUUAUUCGGAAUUACUGGGCUUAAAGAGUUCGUAGGCGGCGCAGAAAGUAGGGUGUGAAAGCCCUCGGCUCAACCGAGGAAUUGCGCUCUAAACUACUGUGCUUGAGGAAGCUAGAGGUGAGCAGAACAGAUGGUGGAGCGGUGAAAUGCGUUGAUAUCAGCUGGAAUACCGGAGGCGAAGGCGGCUCACUGGGGCUUUUCUGACGCUGAGGAACGAAAGCCAGGGUAGCGAACGGG
rnacentral:rRNA from 1 species